GGGCGUUUCACGGGUCCCUUGAUGCCUGAUAGCACCAAGUGUUUGCAUGUUUGGGAUGAUGUUGAAGCUGCUUCCACUCCUUCCUGGUCUACCCUUCCAAACAGGAGGUUGUUUCACUCGUGAAAUUAAUUGAGAACCCAAAAGCUGCUGCAAGGAAAUUGACUGAAACCGCCUUCAACAAGGGAAAUGUUGACAAUAUUACUUGUGUUGUGCGGUUUAAUCAUGGCAAAGAUGAUUUGCCUUGAUAUUAUUUUAGAUGCUUUUGUCCUAUUUUAUUGUGAGUUUAUCAUGAUUCGAAGUGACCGCAGAACAAGAUGCUCUGUGAUUAAGAGUUGUGCAUGUUUUAAAGGACAUUUGCUCCAUAUGUUUAUUGUAUUUGACUUUUAUGCCAGUAAUGGCACAUCACCUUCAUGUUUUUAUUGGUAUGUACUAAAUAAUGAAUGUGCAAUUGAGGAAUUUUUUGCAUU